rnacentral:rRNA from 1 species
AUUGAACGCUGGCGGCAUGCCUUACACAUGCAAGUCGAACGGCAGCGGACCUUCGGGUGCCGGCGAGUGGCGAACGGGUGAGUAAUAUAUCGGAACGUACCUUUCAGUGGGGGAUAACGUAGCGAAAGUUACGCUAAUACCGCAUAUUCUGUGAGCAGGAAAGCAGGGGAUCGCAAGACCUUGCGCUGAUUGAGCGGCCGAUAUCAGAUUAGCUAGUUGGUGAGGUAAAGGCUCACCAAGGCGACGAUCUGUAGCGGGUCUGAGAGGAUGAUCCGCCACACUGGAACUGAGACACGGUCCAGACUCCUACGGGAGGCAGCAGUGGGGAAUUUUGGACAAUGGGCGCAAGCCUGAUCCAGCCAUGCCGCGUGAGUGAAGAAGGCCUCGGUUGUAAGAC